UGGGCUUUUUUACCACUGAAGAGAAGGUAUUUUCUGUAUAAUACCAUUAUUUCCCAUCAGUAUGUAACAACCAUUUGACUCAGGAAGUUAGAGGUCAGCAGUUUGAUUUCUGGAUUCCUUGAAGACAUUUCUUAAAAUAAAUACAUAAAUGUUUUUCAAAUUUUCAUAAUAUUUGGGAUUUUAAUUGGAUGUGUGAAUACUCCUUGCUGGAAUAUCAAGCCUCUGUAAUUAAUUUAGAAAUGUCUCUGUAAGCACUCAGGUAUGAACUCCAUCCCUUCAUAAAGAGAUAAAUGAAUCCUGUGCAUCUGAUGUGAGGAAUCUGGUCUCUGAAGUUUCUCUGUGGAAUUGUGGGGCUGGAAUUUCAUUCAGUACCUGAUAACUGCACCACUUCAGCUCCUCCUUCCCCGUACAUUUGAACAUCCAGCAAUGCAAUCACCAAGACGGCAUUGCAAAAUAAAUGAUAUAAAGGUAUUGAUCCUACCUGGAGACAUGAGAAAAGGCUAUCUGAUCUUUGGAAGCCCUUCCUACACUUCUUUUACAAGAUUAGAGAUUAAAUUCACAUCCAUUGCUCUUAUGGCAAGAGGCAGGGCAAAGCAAUAUUGCAACAUGAACGGCCAUGCUUGGUUCUUCAGGAUGAUGGAAAAAGCAGCAGGAUGGGCAGCGUGUCCCUGUGUGACUGGGAGUCCUUAGGGAUGUCCAAGCGCAUUGGGGCCCCUGGCAAUCUGUGCAGGAUGAAUCCCAGUGGAGGACACCCCCCAUGAAGACCUGACAGGGGGCAGGAACACAACCACACAACCCCACCUCGGGAGUGGUGAUUAUUGAAUACCCCCGUGUUGGACAGGAGAAGUUUAUCUCAGCCCUUCCAGCUCUGAAAGCUACAUUCGGAAUUCAUCUGAAUGGAAAUAUUUUGGAGAAUGAGAAGGAGCAAAAUAGAUUUCUCGCCUUUGCUGACAACCCUGUGGUUUAACAGUGGCCUUGGACACAAAAAGCCCAGGAUUAUGUUCCUCCUCUAGGUUACUCUGAGUAAUCACAUCUACAAAUCAGUGGUGAAAAUGAGUAAUUUUUGAUUCAGGUUGAGAAAAGAACUUCAGUCUGGGUCUUUUAGUGUCCCUGGCUCUUACACCAUUUUCUCCAGGAAAAGAAACAAAAGCAAACCAAACAAAACUAAACACGAAGACAUGAAGUCUUGAAAAUUAAUGAAGCAUGGAAUUAUUGUCCUCCAGUCAGCUUUAAUUGCUAGUGCAACAAUUGAUGAUUAGAAUUCAAAAAUUCAUAUCCCACAUGUAUUCCUCAAUUUUUGUUUAUAAUUUGUCAUCCCAGCAGAUCCUCCUUACAGUAAGUUUAUUUAUCAAUGUUCAUGGAAAGUAGAGCCCAAAGGGGAUGUAAAUCCAAAGUAAGUGAAUUUGUUUAAAUAUUUAAAUCAACAUUUGUGUGAUGUAUUAUUCUAGUUCCAGUCAGCAUUCUGAGUAAAGUAAGAUGAAAAAUAAUUUUCAGAAGAAUUUUUUAAAGAUGGAAAUUAAUUACAAUUCAAAUGC